rnacentral:lncRNA from 1 species
UAGGCCAUUAACCCUUUCCGCAACCAGCCCCCGCCCCAUCGACACCGGGCGGGGAAGGGCGAGGGCGAAGACCCCACAUUUAGGCGUGGGUUACAGCAGGGUACUGCCUAGGGAACCGCGCGAAGGGUGGGGUCUGCGGCCUCUCCGCCGAUGCUACAGAUGUUUCGGCCAUGUAAGACAAAGGCAGAGCGCGGCUGUCGCCGGGAGAAAAUCCGCAGGACUCCCUCAGGGGCAGGUAAAAUUUCACCUUCCAUUGGUAUUCCCCUCCCCCUCCUCGUCUCCCGGCUUUCCGCCAAUCCGGAGAGGGCCACCAAAGACGCCGCGACGCCUCCUCCGCAGCCCAACCCACUGACCCCAGCAAGGUCACGGCGACCUCCGGCACACCCGCCCGUCCUCAGCCACAGAUCCGCAGGGACUGUGGGCGCCCGUAGAGGAAGGGGGCGCUGCGC